UUUUUCUGGGACGGACGCCUUCAAUAAAGAAACGUAGGCGCGCAACGGC
rnacentral:rRNA from 1 species